AUCGAACGCUGGCGGCAGGCCUAACACAUGCAAGUCGAGCGAGCGGCGGACGGGUGAGUACUGUAUGGGGACUGCCCGAUAGCGGGGGAUCACUACUGGAAACGGUAUCUAAUACCGCAUACUAUCGGAUAACCCAUAUGGGAUUAGCUAGUAGGUGAGGUAAUGGCUCACCUAGGCGACGAUCCCUAGCUGGUCUGAGAGGAUGAUCAGCCACACUGGGACUGAGACACGGCCCAGACUCCUACGGAGGCAGCAGUGGGGAAUAUUGCACAAUGGGCGCAAGCCUGAUGCAGCCAUGCCGCGUGUAUGAAGAAGGCCCUAGGGUUGUAAAGUACUUUCGGUCGGGAGGCGUUACCGACAGAAGAAGCACCGGCUAACUCCGUGCCAGCAGCCGCGGUAAUAC
rnacentral:rRNA from 1 species